CGGGAAACAGGUCGGCAAACUGGUUUGUAUGAGUGAGGUUGAUGAUCACAGCGUAUUUGGGGAACUUGAUUGUUCUCUUUAUCUCAAAGGUCCGUGAACAGAAAUGUUUACAGGUAUCUGUUUGAUUCGAAAGAAAAUGGGAUUAUAACAUUCACGGAAUCACCACACUAUAUUUGGAUUUCCCAACACUUGAAGGGUGAGUUUCUGAGUUCCUUAUUUUAACAUGAUGAAAUAGAAACACUGCUGGAGGAAAAGAUUUACAUUUGUGACGAUGAAAUCAAAAAAGCACUAAACAACAGAGGAGUGAAUCUACCUUUUACUCUGUGCCAUACUAAAUACAUAAUAGUAUCAUUUAGGAGAAGUCGAACAGGGUCAUUCCAGUCACUGUUAUCACACCAUCAGAGACACUUAUAUUUCCCGCAUGUGGAUGUCAGACUCUGAUUAGUUAUCCUAAACAUAAUACAACUUCAGUCACAACCUCUACCUCUUAGGUCUUAUCUCUCUCUCUCUCUCUCUCAGACACUUUAUGAGGGAGCACUAUGAUUCUGAUAUGGUAUCUUUUAGUUUGUAUGUUGUAAAGUAAACGCUGGUCUCACCACUCAGCUAAAAGAGUGCUUUUAAUGUCUGAUAGUCACAACAUUGGAAUUGUUAUGCUCCAGGCCUGGUCCACUUGAAUCAUGAGAAAACUGACCCCCACUCUACGGAGGACCUUGUUUGUGCUCCUGGGAAUCGGUUUCAUCUGGUGUCUAAGUUUUCCAUAUGUCAUCCUG